rnacentral:lncRNA from 1 species
GCAGCCCGUGCCUGUCCUCAUCCCCACGCACCCCGUUCCCUCCUCUGCUCCCAGUCCAGCACACCAGCAGAACCGCAUCACCGGAGGCCCUUGACCUUGAGCGCUCGUCUGGCGAGGGUGCUGCGUGCGUCGCCGACGCCGGUUGAACGGGAGGGCCAACCAUCUCCCGUUGCAACGCCCUGCGCCGCCGCUGCCCGCGCACGCCCUGUGCCGCCGCCGACGCCCACGUGCGCCCCUUCCCCAGCCAGUGAGCCACCUUUGUGUGCGCCACCACUGCCUGUGCACGCCCUGUGCCGCCGACGAUGCCAACAUGCGCCCCUGAUCCAGCCAGCGAGCAACCGCACCUCCCGUCGAGCCUUCGGGCGACGACGUGCAUCUGCCUCCUCCGCUCCGCCACUACUGCCCUGCCUCCAAUGGUAGAACUUGAACAGGAGAAGAAGGAGAGGCAGUCGGGUUCCUCUCCAAGGUCCUCCUGUAUGUAAGUGCUCUCUUGCUCCUAAUCUUGUAAUGUGUUCUCUGUAGAUUGACAUUUUGAGGUUGGAGCCUUAUCUGAGGCAUGAGGUCCACGCCAAAUCUCUUUUUAUCUGAAUACCUCUUGUCUGAGCUUGCCUAAAGAACAAGUGUUCAUUGUAGUUAAAGGAAAACGGCUUCAUAAGCUGGCAAGUCCAGAAGCCACUCAUAACCGGUUUAAUCAGCAGGGCCAUCUAAUUUUACAAUAGUGCUGUAUGAAGGAAUCAGUGCUAAACAUUUCUUAAUCCUUGUAAUUUGAAG